AGAGUUUGAUCAUGGCUCAGAACGAACGCUGGCGGCGUGCCUAACACAUGCAAGUCGCGCGAGAAAACGGGGGCAACUCCGUGAGUAAAGCGGCGAACGGGUGAGUAACACGUAGGUUACCUACCCUCGAGUCCAGGAUAACCCGCCGAAAGGUGGGCUAAUACCGGAUAUGACCACGGGAGCCUCGGUUCCUGCGGUGAAAGGUGGCCUCUGCUUGCAAGCUACCGCUCGAAGAUGGGCCUGCGCGCCAUUAGCUAGUUGGUGGGGUAACGGCCCACCAAGGCGAUGAUGGCUAGCUGGUCUGAGAGGAUGGCCAGCCACACUGGGACUGAAACACGGCCCAGACUCCUACGGGAGGCAGCAGUGGGGGAUAUUGCGCAAUGGGCGAAAGCCUGACGCAGCGACGCCGCGUGGGUGAUGAAGGCCUUCGGGUCGUAAAGCCCUGUCGAGGGGAAAGAAACGGUUCCGACCCAACACGUCGGGACCCUGACGGUACCCCUAAAGGAAGCACCGGCUAACUCCGUGCCAGCAGCCGCGGUAAUACGGAGGGUGCGAGCGUUGUUCGGAAUCACUGGGCGUAAAGGGCGUGUAGGCGGUCCGCUAAGUCUGAUGUGAAAGCCCGGGGCUCACCCCCGGAAGUGCAUUGGAAACUGGCGGACUCGAGUCCCGGAGAGGAGGGUGGAAUUCCUGGUGUAGCGGUGAAAUGCGUAGAUAUCAGGAGGAACACCGGUGGCGAAGGCGGCCCUCUGGACGGUGACUGACGCUGAGACGCGAAAGCGUGGGGAGCAAACAGGAUUAGAUACCCUAGUAGUCC
rnacentral:rRNA from 1 species